rnacentral:rRNA from 1 species
CGCAGGCGGUCUUGUCCGUCAGGUGUGAAAGCUCGGGGCUCAACCCCGGAAGUGCACUUGAAACAGCAAGACUUGAAUACGGGAGAGGAGAGAGGAAUUCCUGGUGUAGAGGUGAAAUUCGUAGAUAUCAGGAGGAGCACCGAUGGCGAAGGCAUCUCUCUGGACCGAUAUUGACGCUGAGGCGCGAAGGCGUGGGUAGCGAACG